CUAUACGGUGAAACUGCGAAUGGCUCAUUAAAUCAGUUAUCGUUUAUUUGAUAGUACCUUACUACUUGGAUAACCGUGGUAAUUCUAGAGCUAAUACAUGCUAAAAACCUCGACUUCGGAAGGGGUGUAUUUAUUAGAUAAAAAACCAAUGCCCUUCGGGGCUCCUUGGUGAUUCAUAAUAACUUAACGAAUCGCAUGGCCUUGUGCCGGCGAUGGUUCAUUCAAAUUUCUGCCCUAUCAACUUUCGAUGGUAGGAUAGUGGCCUACCAUGGUUUCAACGGGUAACGGGGAAUUAGGGUUCUAUUCCGGAGAGGGAGCCUGAGAAACGGCUGCCACAUCCAAGGAAGGCAGCAGGCGCGCAAAUUACCCAAUCCCGACACGGGGAGGUAGUGACAAUAAAUACUGAUACAGGGCUCUUUUGGGUCUUGUAAUUGGAAUGAGUACAAUUUAAAUCCCUUAACGAGGAACAAUUGGAGGGCAAGUCUGGUGCCAGCAGCCGCGGUAAUUCCAGCUCCAAUAGCGUAUAUUAAAGUUGUUGCAGUUAAAAAGCUCGUAGUUGAACCUUGAGCCUGGCUGGCCGGUCCGCCUCACCGCGUGCACUGGUCCGGCCGGGUUUUUCCUUCUGGGGAGCCGCAUGCCCUUCACUGGGUGUGUCGGGGAACCAGGACUUUUACUUUGAAAAAAUUAGAGUGUUCAAAGCAGGCCUAUGCUCGAAUACAUUAGCAUGGAAUAAUAGAAUAGGACGUGUGGUUCUAUUUUGUUGGUUUCUAGGACCGCCGUAAUGAUUAAUAGGGAUAGUCGGGGGCAUCAGUAUUCAAUUGUCAGAGGUGAAAUUCUUGGAUUUAUUGAAGACUAACUACUGCGAAAGCAUUUGCCAAGGAUGUUUUCAUUAAUCAGUGAACGAAAGUUAGGGGAUCGAAGACGAUCAGAUACCGUCGUAGUCUUAACCAUAAACUAUGCCGACUAGGGAUCGGGCG
rnacentral:rRNA from 1 species